rnacentral:lncRNA from 1 species
UGGGAGGACUUCUUGGAUGCUUAUCUAUGAAAUAGUUUAAAUGUCUAAACAGGUUAAAUGAGUUGGGUCAGAUCGGAUUUAAAGGUUAAAUGGCAAUUUAGAGGAUCAAGCACGACCGCAGCUGAUCAGGUGCUCCUAAAAUUUCCUGUUAGUUUAUGAACUACUAUAAAGAAUGAAACAUUUGAUUUUUGGUUGUUGACAUAUCGCUGCAAGGCAUUCGAAUAAUUCAAGCAGCGACGGGAGUGGCGAAGACGAUGCUCGUCAGUGAUACUGGAUGAGUUUAUGCACUUGGGAAGGAUAAUUUUGGAGAAGCAGAUACUUUAGAUAAUCUUUUGUUAAAGCCUUAGCUAGUGAAAUCUUUGAAAGAUAUAUUUGUUGUUCAAGUAGCAAUAGGUCACUUCUUCACACUUAUGAAACAGGAUUUCUAUUCGAGGGG